GAAGCCAUUAGGUUGAGGGCACGCCUGCCUGGGCGUCUCAC
rnacentral:rRNA from 1 species